rnacentral:rRNA from 1 species
ACGUACACUCCUGCGGGAGGCAGCAGUGGGGAAUAUUGCACAAUGGGCGCAAGCCUGAUGCAGCCAUGCCGCGUGUAUGAAGAAGGCCUUCGGGUUGUAAAGUACUUUCAGCGGGGAGGAAGGCGAUAAGGUUAAUAACCUUGUCGAUUGACGUUACCCGCAGAAGAAGCACCGGCUAACUCCGUGCCAGCAGCCGCGGUAAUACGGAGGGUGCAAGCGUUAAUCGGAAUUACUGGGCGUAAAGCGCACGCAGGCGGUCUGUCAAGUCGGAUGUGAAAUCCCCGGGCUCAACCUGGGAACUGCAUUCGAAACUGGCAGGCUAGAGUCUUGUAGAGGGGGGUAGAAUUCCAGGUGUAGCGGUGAAAUGCGUAGAGAUCUGGAGGAAUACCGGUGGCGAAGGCGGCCCCCUGGACAAAGACUGACGCUCAGGUGCGAAAGCGUGGGGAGCAAACAGGAUUAGAAACCCCGGUAGUCCCA